rnacentral:rRNA from 1 species
CCUAAUACAAGUUUGGAUUGACUUGGCGUAAUAGACUAUUCGCUAAGGAUUCAAUGUUCGCAUUGAGCCAACUUAAUUAUGGAAGCUUCUAAUUGAAAAGUCUACCUUUAGAUUAGAUCUCAAAUCAGGCAGGAUUACCCGCUGAACUUAAGCAUAUCAAUAAGCGGAGGAAAAGAAACUAACAAGGAUUCCCCUAGUAGCGGCGAGCGAAGCGGGAAAAGCUCAAAUUUGUAAUCUGGCGUCUACGACGUCCGAGUUGUAAUCUCGAGAAGUGUUUUCCGUGAUAGACCGCAUACAAGUCUCUUGGAACAGAGCGUCAUAGUGGUGAGAACCCAGUACACGAUGCGGAUGCCUAUUACUUUGUGAUACACUUUCGAAGAGUCGAGUUGUUUGGGAAUGCAGCUCAAAUUGGGUGGUAAAUUCCAUCUAAAGCUAAAUAUUGGCGAGAGACCGAUAGCGAACAAGUACCGUGAGGGAAAGAUGAAAAGCACUUUGGAAAGAGAGUUAACAGUACGUGAAAUUGUUGGAAGGGAAACACAUGCAGCCAGACUUGCUAUUCGGGGCAACUCGAUUGGCAGGCCCGCAUCAGUUUUUCGGGGCGGAAAAGCAUAGAGAGAAGGUAGCAAUUUCGGUUGUGUUAUAGCUCUUUAUUGGAUUCGCCCUGGGGGACUGAGGAACGCAGCGUGCUUUUAGCAUAAGCUUCGGCU